GAUGAACGCUGACAGAAUGCUUAACACAUGCAAGUCUACUUGAAUUUGGGUUUUUUAACUUAGAUUUGGGUGGCGGACGGGUGAGUAACGCGUAAAGAACUUGCCUCACAGCUAGGGACAACAUUUGGAAACGAAUGCUAAUACCUGAUAUUAUGAUUAUAAGGCAUCUUAGAAUUAUGAAAGCUAUAUGCGCUGUGAGAGAGCUUUGCGUCCCAUUAGCUAGUUGGAGAGGUAACGGCUCACCAAGGCGAUGAUGGGUAGCCGGCCUGAGAGGGUGAACGGCCACAAGGGGACUGAGACACGGCCCUUACUCCUACGGGAGGCAGCAGUGGGGAAUAUUGGACAAUGGACCAAGAGUCUGAUCCAGCAAUUCUGUGUGCACGAUGACGUUUUUCGGAAUGUAAAGUGCUUUCAGUUGGGAAGAAAAAAAUGACGGUACCAACAGAGGAAGUGACGGCUAAAUACGUG
rnacentral:rRNA from 1 species